AGAGUUUGAUCAUGGCUCAGGACGAACGCUGGCGGCACGCCUAACACAUGCAAGUCGAACGGAGAUGAUUUGAGUUUACUUAGAUCAUCUUAGUGGCGGACGGGUGAGUAACACGUGAGCAACCUGCCUUUGAGAGAGGGAUAGCUUCUGGAAACGGAUGGUAAUACCUCAUAACAUACAGAUACCGCAUGGUGACUGUAUCAAAGAUUUAUCACUCAAAGAUGGGCUCGCGUCUGAUUAGAUAGUUGGUGAGGUAACGGCUCACCAAGUCGACGAUCAGUAGCCGGACUGAGAGGUUGAACGGCCACAUUGGGACUGAGACACGGCCCAGACUCCUACGGGAGGCAGCAGUGGGGAAUAUUGCACAAUGGGGGAAACCCUGAUGCAGCGAUGCCGCGUGGAGGAAGAAGGUUUUCGGAUUGUAAACUCCUGUCUUAAAGGACGAUAAUGACGGUACUUAAGGAGGAAGCUCCGGCUAACUACGUGCCAGCAGCCGCGGUAAUACGUAGGGAGCGAGCGUUGUCCGGAAUUACUGGGUGUAAAGGGAGCGUAGGCGGGACGGCAAGUCAGAUGUGAAAUACAUGGGCUCAACCCAUGGGCUGCAUUUGAAACUGCUGUUCUUGAGUGAAGUAGAGGUAAGCGGAAUUCCUGGUGUAGCGGUGAAAUGCGUAGAUAUCAGGAGGAACACCGGUGGCGAAGGCGGCUUACUGGGCUUUUACUGACGCUGAGGCUCGAAAGCGUGGGGAGCAAACAGGAUUAGAUACCCUGGUAGUCCGCACGGUAAACGAUGGAUGCUCGCUGUGUGCCCCUGGGUACGCGGCCAAGCGAAAGCGUUAAGCAUCCCACCUGGGGAGUACGCCGGCAACGGUGAAACUCAAAGGAAUUGACGGGGGCCCGCACAAGCGGAGGAACAUGUGGUUUAAUUCGAUGAUACGCGAGGAACCUUACCCGGGCUUGAAUUGCAGGAGAACGAUACAGAGAUGUUGAGGUCCUUCGGGACUCCUGUGAAGGUGCUGCAUGGUUGUCGUCAGCUCGUGCCGUGAGGUGUCGGCUUAAGUGCCAUAACGAGCGCAACCCCUCUCCGUAGUUGCCAUCAGGUGAUGCUGGGCACUCUGCGGACACUGCCGCCGUAAGGUGUGAGGAAGGUGGGGAUGACGUCAAAUCAGCACGGCCCUUACGUCCGGGGCUACACACGUGUUACAAUGGGUCAUACAGAGUGUUGUGCGUAUGCAAAUACGUUCUAAUCAUUAAAAUGAUCCUCAGUUCGGAUUGGGGUCUGCAACCCGACCCCAUGAAGCUGGAUUCGCUAGUAAUCGCGCAUCAGCCAUGGCGCGGUGAAUACGUUCCCGGGCCUCGUACACACCGCCCGUCAAGCCAUGAAAGCCGGGGGCGCCUGAAGUCCGUAACCGCAAGGAUCGGCCUAGGGUGAAACCGGUGAUUGGGGCUAAGUCGUAACAAGGUA
rnacentral:rRNA from 1 species